AAGUCGUAACAAGGUAACCGUAGGUGAACCUGCGGUUGGAUCAUUACUAAAUGAUGUCAAUGCCUGGCUCCUGCGUUGAGUAAUUUCUCGCAGUUGCAGCCUCGCUAUUGAUUUUCUAACCAUUGUGCACCAUAAUGUCUCUGGGAAGUGCUGUGGCCUCCCGACUUAUUCAACCAUUUAUUUUUGUCUGAUUUUUGAUUCUUAUGAAUUAAAUACAACUUUUGGCAACGGAUCUCUUGGCUCUC
rnacentral:misc_RNA from 1 species